rnacentral:tRNA from 2 species
GGAGAGGUGGCCGAGUGGUCGAAGGCAAUCGCUUGCUAAGCGGUCGUACCCGUUAAACGGUACCAAGGGUUCGAAUCCCUUCCUCUCCACCA